UUAUACUCCAAUGAAGAUGUCCAAAAAAAAAAAAAAAAAGAUUAGCAUGGCCCCUGCAAGGAUGAUACGCAAAUUCGUGAAGCGUUCCAUAUUUUU
rnacentral:snRNA from 1 species